rnacentral:rRNA from 1 species
GAUGAACGCUGGCGGCGUGCCUAAUACAUGCAAGUCGAGCGAACGGACGAGAAGCUUGCUUCUCUGAUGUUAGCGGCGGACGGGUGAGUAACACGUGGAUAACCUACCUAUAAGACUGGGAUAACUUCGGGAAACCGUAGCUAAUACCGGAUAAUAUUUUGAACCGCAUGGUUCAAAAGUGAAAGACGGUCUUGCUGUCGCUUAUAGAUGGAUCCGCGCUGCAUUGGCUAGUUGGUAAGGUAACGGCUUACCAAGGCAACGAUGCAUAGCCGACCUGAGAGGGUGAUCGGCCACACUGGAACUGAGACACGGUCCAGACUCCUACGGGAGGCAGCAGUAGGGAAUCUUCCGCAAUGGGCGAAAGCCUGACGGAGCAACGCCGCGUGAGUGAUGAAGGUCUUCGGAUCGUAAAACUCUGUUAUUAGGGAAGAACAUAUGUGUAAGUAACUGUGCACAUCUUGACGGUACCUAAUCAGAAAGCCACGGCUAACUACGUG